rnacentral:rRNA from 1 species
AUUGAACGCUGGCGGCAUGCUUUACACAUGCAAGUCGAACGGUAACAGGUUAAGCUGACGAGUGGCGAACGGGUGAGUAAUGCAUCGGAACGUGCCCGGUCGUGGGGGAUAACGCAGCGAAAGCUGCGCUAAUACCGCAUACGAUCUGAGGAUGAAAGCGGGGGACCGUAAGGCCUCGCGCGAUCGGAGCGGCCGAUGUCAGAUUAGGUAGUUGGUGGGGUAAAGGCUCACCAAGCCGACGAUCUGUAGCUGGUCUGAGAGGACGACCAGCCACACUGGGACGGAGAAACGGCCCAGACUCCUACGGGAGGCAGCAGUGGGGAAUUUUGGACAAUGGGCGCAAGCCUGAUCCAGCAAUGCCGCGUGCAGGAAGAAGGCCUUCGGGUUGUAAACUGCUUUUGUACGGAGCGAAAAGGCUCUCUCUAAUACAGGGGGCUCGUGACGGUACCGUAAGAAUAAGCACCGGCUAACUACGUGCCAGCAGCCGCGGUAA